rnacentral:rRNA from 1 species
UCAUAUGCUUGUCUCAAAGAUUAAGCCAUGCAUGUCUAAGUACGUGCCUAAGAAAGGUGAAACCGCGAAUGGCUCAUUAAAUCAGUUAUGGUUCCUUAGAUCGUACCUUACUACUUGGAUAACUGUGGUAAUUCUAGAGCUAAUACAUGCAGCAGAGCUCCGACCUUCGGGGACGAGCGCUUUUAUUAGACCAAGACCAAUCGGACUUCGGUCCGAAGCUCAUGGUGACUCUGGAUAACUUUGGGCUGAUCGCACGGUCUCGUACCGGCGACGCAUCUUUCAAGUGUCUGCCUUAUCAACUUUCGAUGGUAGGUUAUGCGCCUACCAUGGUCGUAACGGGUAACGGGGAAUCAGGGUUCGAUUCCGGAGAGGGAGCCUGAGAAACGGCUACCACAUCCAAGGAAGGCAGCAGGCGCGCAAAUUACCCACUCCCGGCACGGGGAGGUAGUGACGAAAAAUAACAAUACGGGACUCUAUUGAGGCCCCGUAAUUGGAAUGAGUACACUCUAAAUCCUUUAACGAGGAUCUAUUGGAGGGCAAGUCUGGUGCCAGCAGCUGCGGUAAUUCCAGCUCCAAUAGCGUAUAUUAAAGUUGUUGCGGUUAAAAAGCUCGUAGUUGGAUCUCAGUUCCAGACGGGUGGUCCACCCCUGGUGGUUACUGCCUGGCCUGAACAAAUCCAGCCGGUUUUCCUUGAUGCUCUUCACCGAGUGUCUUGGGUGACCGGCACGUUUACUUUGAAAAAAUUAGAGUGCUCAAAGCAGGCGUGACGCCUGAAUAAUGGUGCAUGGAAUAAUGGAAUAGGACCUCGGUUCUAUUUUGUUGGUUUUCGGAACACGAGGUAAUGAUUAAGAGGGACAGACGGGGGCAUUCGUAUUGCGACGCUAGAGGUGAAAUUCUUGGACCGUCGCAAGACGAACUACU